UACGUAGGGUGCAAGCGUUGUCCGGAAUUAUUGGGCGUAAAGAGCUCGUAGGCGGUUUGUCGCGUCUGCUGUGAAAACUCGGGGCUUAACCCCGGGCCUGCAGUGGGUACGGGCAGACUAGAGUGCGGUAGGGGAGACUGGAAUUCCUGGUGUAGCGGUGAAAUGCGCAGAUAUCAGGAGGAACACCGGUGGCGAAGGCGGGUCACUGGGUAUCUUCUGACGCUGAGGGACGAAAGCGUGGGGAGCAAACAGG
rnacentral:rRNA from 1 species